ACCUCAGCCUCUUUCUCGCCAUCAAUCACAAGGGCUCCAUCUGCUCCCGCUCCCGCCCCCGCUCCCGGCAAGGUGACUUGUCGCAGCUGCAGGUAGAGACCUAGAACGCAAUCUGAAGCGUUUCAUUAGGGAAAUAGGUGCGCAGCACUCUCCGCCCCUACAGCUCCUUCGGCUUCUGGAAAGCCGGCCGGCCUCCUUCCCCGGAAUCUCCUGCAUCAACUCAUGCCCAACGACUCCUGCUCAAUUUCUGGCCUCCCCUCUAGAGAAAUCAGCAUUCCGAGGAUGCGCCUGGCGCUGAGGUGCUUGGAAGCUUCUGAGGUUUGGGAGCAGUACAGUUCACCCCGAGAUCACCGCUAAGCUUUGGCUCCGUCAAAGUACCCUACCCAUCCCUAGGCCCCAACGACUGCGAGGAGGGGGGGAGAUUUUGCACACUGCAUCCCCCCCCCUUCCUCCUCUCCCCACCCCCACUUCGCCAUGUAAACACGAGGACUUUCUCGAGAGCCUUGGAGAGCCGCUCUAGUGGCUUCGGGCCCUGAAACCCCAGGCUGGGCUUGUUUGAUGUUUAGCAUCCCAAAGCGGCUCCCCACCCUGGCCCCAGCCUGGGAACUGGGAGCUGUGGGCAGGAGAGGAAGGAAAUCAGCUCUCUCAGCUAGUUAGGGGGUCAGGGACUGGGCCAGGCUCAGAAGCCGGGAGAAGAGCGAGAAAGAUGCUCUGAGCGGGGAAGACAGGGAUACCCGGCUGCUGCCGCUACCAACAAGGGCACACACUGCGGUCCUCAAGGCCAGGAGGCGGGUGGGGGCAGGGAAUACCUCAGCCAACAGGGCAGCGGCUCGGCCCUGCUGCUGGCCUGGUGGGAAGUAGCCUGGGGCCCUGCGACUGAAAUCCGAGCCAAGCCCGGGCAGUCUCCACUAGAAACGCUUUGGGCGCGCGCUCCAGGAGACUCGGAGGCCCCGGGCGCUCCAGCCCAGUGAUGUUGUAGGAGAUUAGAGUUUGGCCUUUCAUAGGGAAAGACUUGCUCGGGAGCCUUCUAAGAGAUUUUAAAUCUUCCUGGGUCAGGACUAGGGAGCUCUAGUGACAGUGCCUUGGUCUGGCAUCCAAGACUCCAAUUUUGAGGCCGCAGGGAGGAAUUGUCAGACUGUAGAGGCUGCCCAGCCUUCAGCGCGCUCACCGCGUCCAAGCGUCGGUGAGGGGCUAUCUCAAGGCACGAGUGCACAAAAGGUAGCGCGAGUCUCUUCUCAGGCGAUCCACAUAAGAGGAAAGGAGAGCGGGGUUUUCUGACUUCCAACUCAUUAGGGACCAGAUAUAAAUCCUCAAAGUCUGGCAAGAAUGAAGGCAUAAGGAUAUUCUUCAAAGAAACAUCAUUUUAAAGAAAAAGACUUCACACUGGGUAAAGAUGGCCAAUUAAUUUGGUUCUUUUUCUUCAGGAUCAGGCACAGAGACUGACUGAAUGGCUCCAAUUAUCAGGAUUUGAAAACCCAGUAUCAGAAUCUACCACUUUGUAGCAUAAUAAGAAAUGGCUGCUCUUAGAAAAGUUCUGUGACCACAGAAAGAACAGGCCUGAGGGAGAGGGAAAAGCGGAUACCCACCUGUGUCGCUGUUUAUGUGCCAAGUCCAGGAACAGUCCAUACAGCCCUGCUGCAUCCCACGACGCUGUCAUCAAGAAAGAGGUCAUCCGAGGCCAAGGUGUCGCCAUCAGAAUGUUCAUCAAAGUAGCGAUGCUGACUUCAUUCGUAGGCAGAUUCUCUUCCUGUGGAGUAUCCAGCCUGUUUGCCGAGUUUUCUCGUUCUUCCGGGGUCUGUUUACUGUAUUCCAGCUACCAAAGUGAUAGAAGUAAAACUGAAAGAGUUCUAAAUAGCUUUUUGCCCCCAUGUUAGCUGCCUUGCGUUAAUGUGGUCCUAUCAUCAUUUGAUGAUUUGGCGACUGCAGUUAUCCAUACUAGCUCUCCUACCACUGACUACUGAGAGUUAAUUAUUAUUGAAUAUCCAUCCAUCCAGGGUGAGUUAUAACUUAUGCCAGGUGUUUUGGUGAAUAAUACUAAUGCAAUUCAUUUUACUGUUUACCCUCUCAUCUUAAAGUAAUCAGCUGAUAAAAUAAGAUGGAUUGGAUUGGUACUUAAAGGUUUUUUCUCUGUGAGGCUUUUGCCCUAUUCAUAUUAAACUGUUUUUAAAAUUUACUAUUCAUACUUCCUGUCCAUAAAUCAUAUAAUCAUGUCCUUUUCCCAUUUAUCCAUUGGGAAUAUUGUUAGUGUUCACAUGUAUGUUUGAAUAAAUUUUCAUAUACUUGGUGCUGAUAAUUCUAUUUUUCAUUUGUGUUAACUUUUUUUGUAUUUACUGUUAAUUGCUUCUCUUACUUAGAAGUUAGAAAUUUAUGUAAUUAUAUUUGACUAUUUUAUUUAAUUUCCAAUGUCUUCAUUUGCUCCACUUGUAAGAAAAUUAUCACUUUAAAGUGAGACUAAAAGCCCUAUAUAUUCUUUUGGGUCUCUAUUUCCCACCAUCCCUGAGAUUUUACUCUGACAUUCUCUGGGCCUUAUAGCCGAGGCCCCAUAACUAUUCAAUGCAUUAUUUUCACAAAAGUUUGAUGCUUGUGUUAUGACUUCAAUUGAGUAGUUACCUUAGAGCCUAUUACCUACUUAUUUAUCCUGUAUUUAGAACUAUUUCUCAUGUUUUCUGUUGUCCAUGGGGCUUAUAAAUCACACCCAACUUCACUCAUUCUCUUACUCAUUUCGUUAUUCACUCAUUCACACUUCCAUUUAUCCAUUCAUUUACUAUAUUUGGCACACAAACUCUAGGGUGACCAACAGUGAUCCUUGCUUCCUAGUGUGUUCACUCUUGUGUGUAGGCAGGACCUGGGACUUGCUUUUAACCAACAGAAUAUGACAAAAGUGGUGAGAUUUCUUCCUGUGAUUGUGUUACAUAACAUAAGCCUCUGUCUUGCUAGUAGAGUCACUCUAGACACUCUCCUUGUUGGCUUGAUGAAGUAAGCAGUCAUGCUGAGGAAGCUCUCCUGGUGAGGAACCUUGGACAGACUCCAGCUAGCAGUCAGAAAGAAGCCUGGAUCCCUGGUCUUAGAGCUGCAUGGAAAUGAAUUCUGCCAAUAACCUGAGUGAGCUUAAAAGGGGUUUCUUCCUCAGUCAGGUCUCCAGAUGAGUACACAGCCCAGGUGAUACCUUGAUUGCAGUGUUGCAAGACUCUAAGCAGAGGGCCCAUUUAAGCCAUGCCCUUACCUAGAAACUGUAAGAUAAUAAAUAGUUAUUUUGAGCCACAACGUAUGCAAAGUAUGCAGUAAUUAGUUAUGCAGAAAUAGAGAAUGAGUACACUGUGCUAUGCUAAUUAUCAUAUGCAUGAUCUCUUAGUGUUUCAAGUAAUGUCAUAAGCCUGAUAUUAAUAUUAUCUUCAUUUACAGAAGGAGAAACUGAUGCUCAGAAGUUGAUCUCCAGAAUGUUUUGCUCUUAGCCACUAUGCUAUUAUGGCAUGUUUUAUCUUAAUGUAUUGCAUUGUUUCAUGGGUUCAAGUUUAUCAUGUCCUUAAUGUAUUUGACAGGUUUUAGCAGAUAGACAAGUUUAAAAAUUUAUCUGCUAAAACCUGUCAAAUACAUUAAGGAAAAGUCCUGCAUGGCUAAUCUCCCACACAAGGUAGAUGUUUUUAAGUUCAACUCUAUAAAGACAUUUCAUUUAACUUUUUUGUGCUGUACUUAUACAUCUUGUAGAAAUAAUAUUUGAUUCAUGAAUAGGAAAGGUUUUCUUAAAAGUGAUGGACUGUGAACUAUUUAGAAGAAAGAAUAAUCAUGGCAGACAUGAGUGCAAAAUGCUUUGAAUUUAUCUGGAAUUAGAACAUUGAGAAAAACAUUAGUUAAAAUGUGCUGCAGCUUGAACUCUGUCUUUAAUUUUGCUAUAAGACUAAAACAUUUAAUCCGUGUCUUAAUGUUAACAUUUCUGAUCAGGUAUAGGCAAAAAUAUAAUAUAGAGAUAUUUUGAAACAGGGUUUUUUUUAAACAACUAAAGUCCUAUUUGGUUCACUGUUCUGAGGAGUUAAGGUGGAGUUGUGAUGUCUUCUAAUAAAAGUCCUUUUUGUUCUGCAUUAUCAGAUGUUAAUUAUUCAUACUGCAUGACUGAGGAUUUUGGAGGCAGAAAGAGAUUCACCUGCGAUAUCUGGAACACCAAUGGGGGUCUACACCAACACAGAAUUUAUACAGCAGCUGGUGCUAGUCAAAGCUAAUGAGAGAAUUUCAGUUUAAUAAAAAGACCCCCAACUGAGCACACCAUCUUGAAAAAAGUAUACUUAUCAAACAACUUUCAAUCAGUUCAAGAGAGACACCUUAAUUGGCAAGAGGAAGAAUUGCAGAGUAGUUUGUAAUCAUGCCAAUUCUAGAUCAAUAACUGCAUGUCUGUUCUGUGGUAGACAUAGCUUUUGCUUCAUAUGAAGUAAUCACAUAUAAAUUCUCUCUAUUUGGAUAAGGGAACCUUUGCUUUAUUUGACGAUGUAUAAUGAUAUCCUCUUUUAAUACACCUUUGUGUCUUCAUAAUAAACACGAGUAAAAUUUAGACAUGUGAUGGUAAAAGUCAAUAUAAUUGUUGAUUUUAAAAAUAAACUUUGUAUCUAACAGGAAAGCAGUGCUUAUGAAAUUUUUAUAUUUUCAAAAAUAAUUUUGUUGAAAUAAAAUUAUAUGAAUAAAGUUAAA